rnacentral:rRNA from 1 species
GACGAACGCUGGCGGCGUGCUUAACACAUGCAAGUCGAACGGAAAGGCCCUGCUUUUGUGGGGUGCUCGAGUGGCGAACGGGUGAGUAACACGUGAGUAACCUGCCCUUGACUUUGGGAUAACUUCAGGAAACUGGGGCUAAUACCGGAUAGGAGCUCCUGCUGCAUGGUGGGGGUUGGAAAGUUUCGGCGGUUGGGGAUGGACUCGCGGCUUAUCAGCUUGUUGGUGGGGUAGUGGCUUACCAAGGCUUUGACGGGUAGCCGGCCUGAGAGGGUGACCGGCCACAUUGGGACUGAGAUACGGCCCAGACUCCUACGGGAGGCAGCAGUGGGGAAUAUUGCACAAUGGGCGGAAGCCUGAUGCAGCAACGCCGCGUGCGGGAUGACGGCCUUCGGGUUGUAAACCGCUUUCGCCUGUGACGAAGCGUGAGUGACGGUAAUGGGUAAAGAAGCACCGGCUAACUACGUGCCAGCAGCCGCGGUGAUGCGUAGGGUGCGAGCGUUGUCCGGAUUUAUUGGGCGUAAAGGGCUCGUAGGUGGUUGAUCGCGUCGGAAGUGUAAUCUUGGGGCUUAACCCUGAGCGUGCUUUCGAUACGGGUUGACUUGAGGAAGGUAGGGGAGAAUGGAAUUCCUGGUGGAGCGGUGGAAUGCGCAGAUAUCAGGAGGAACACCAGUGGCGAAGGCGGUUCUCUGGGCCUUUCCUGACGCUGAGGAGCGAAAGCGUGGGGAGCGAACAGGCUUAGAUACCCUGGUAGUCCACGCUGUAAACGGUGGGUACUAGGUGUGGGGUCCAUUCCACGGGUUCCGUGCCGUAGCUAACGCUUUAAGUACCCCGCCUGGGGAGUACGGCCGCAAGGCUAAAACUCAAAGGAAUUGACGGGGCCCCGCACAAGCGGCGGAGCAUGCGGAUUAAUUCGAUGCAACGCGUAGAACCUUACCUGGGUUUGACAUGGAUCGGGAGCGCUCAGAGAUGGGUGUGCCUCUUUUGGGGUCGGUUCACAGGUGGUGCAUGGCUGUCGUCAGCUCGUGUCGUGAGAUGUUGGGUUAAGUCCCGCAACGAGCGCAACCCUUGUUCACUGUUGCCAGCACGUUAUGGUGGGGACUCAGUGGAGACCGCCGGGGUCAACUCGGAGGAAGGUGGGGAUGACGCCAAGUCAUCAUGCCCCUUAUGUCCAGGGCUUCACGCAUGCUACAAUGGCUGGUACAGAGAGUGGCGAGCCUGUGAGGGUGAGCGAAUCUCGGAAAGCCGGUCUCAGUUCGGAUUGGGGUCUGCAACUCGACCUCAUGAAGUCGGAGUCGUUAGUAAUCGCAGAUCAGCAACGCUGCGGUGAAUACGUUCCCGGG